AUGAACGCUGGCGGCGUGCCUAAUACAUGCAAGUCGAGCGCACAGACGAGGAGCUUGCUCCUCUGACGUUAGCGGCGGACGGGUGAGUAACACGUGGAUAACCUACCUAUAAGACUGGGAUAACUUCGGGAAACCGGAGCUAAUACCGGAUAAUAUAUUGAACCGCAUGGUUCAAUAGUGAAAGACGGUUUUGCUGUCACUUAUAGAUGGAUCCGCGCCGCAUUAGCUAGUUGGUAAGGUAACGGCUUACCAAGGCAACGAUGCGUAGCCGACCUGAGAGGGUGAUCGGCCACACUGGAACGGAGACACGGUCCAGACUCCUACGGGAGGCAGCAGUAGGGAAUCUUCCGCAAUGGGCGAAAGCCUGACGGAGCAACGCCGCGUGAGUGAUGAAGGUCUUCGGAUCGUAAAACUCUGUUAUUAGGGAAGAACAAAUGUGUAAGUAACUAUGCACGUCUUGACGGUACCUAAUCAGAAAGCCACGGCUAACUACGUG
rnacentral:rRNA from 1 species